rnacentral:rRNA from 1 species
AGAUUGAACGCUGGCGGCAUGCCUUACACAUGCAAGUCGAACGGCAGCACGGGAGCAAUCCUGGUGGCGAGUGGCGAACGGGUGAGUAAUAUAUCGGAACGUGCCCAGUCGUGGGGGAUAACGCAGCGAAAGCUGUGCUAAUACCGCAUACGAUCUAUGGAUGAAAGCGGGGAUCGCAAGACCUCGCGCGAUUGGAGCGGCCGAUAUCAGAUUAGCUAGUUGGUAGGGUAAAGCCUACCAAGGCGACGAUCUGUAGCUGGUCUGAGAGGACGACCAGCCACACUGGAACUGAGACACGGUACCAGACUCCGUACGGGAGGCAGCAGGUGGGUAAUUUU